GUUGUACAUGAACUCUGGACUGCUUUGCAUACAUAACUAAGCAUUUCAGUUGGAGUACUCUUAAAUCUGAAUUCAGAUUAUGCUAUUGCACCAGUCAGUACCACUUUUUCCAGCCUGAGACCUGAGCAUAUCCAUUGUGGCAUGAAGAAGAUGCUGAAUUCAAAUUGAUCAUGCUUUGAGAUGGUGCUGUAUCCAUGAUCUGAAGACCAAGACAACAGGAGAAGAGGAGCAAGAGGGGUCUCUCCAAUGCAUCAAAUUGUAAAUGGCUAACUCAACAGUGAAAAGGCAGUAAAUAGUUGUGGUAGCUACAUAUGCCUAUACUGUGGACCACUGAUAUAUUCAGG